GGCAACAUACACGACAAGAGUAUGAACAAAACAGGUGUACAACUAGGCACCACAUACAAAAAUAAAAGGAUCACAUUAUUGCUAUACACAUACAUACUACUCUGUUUGAUAAAUGAAUGUUUUAUGAUAAAAGAUUCUGUCAUUCUUGUUGGUUGUGCACGUGAGAACUUGCAAUGGUCCCCCACACCUGCACUAUAUACAUCUGUAUGUUCAAAAUGUACUGCAAUACCAAACCAUGAAUCUGAAAAAUGUUUUUUUAGUAAUGUGCUGUGUUAUCCACUUUUCAAUUUCUUUUUUGAAAAAUGUUUAGUAGAAAUGAAAGUUUUUCUAAUUUUUAUAGGUUCUCAAAGUAGUUAA